UACCCGUACCUCAUUACGCCGCAGUCCAGCUCUUGGGACAGCCUGGGCCCCGCCCACGCCUCCAGGGUUGUGCUGUAGGGCGUGGCUCUGCCUACAACAGGGGCUGCUGGGGGCCUCCAAACGGUCUGGCCAGCCAGGGACAGGGAGGGCAGAGACUUGAGUGACCGUGCCUGAGUCUGUCCCGGUGGUACCCAAGUCGUAGGCCACUUCCGAGAGCUGGCGGAGCGGACGCAGGCCUCCAGCAAGAAGUUUGUUGAAGCUGCAGGAUCCCAGAGUGGCGCCAGAAGUCUGAGCUCUUCACCUCUCCCACCGAGAAAUCCACACCCCUGGCGCCACCGGGGAUCCAGUUGCAGGGUCCAUCUCUCCAGCCGGCUAAGUCCUGGUCCGCAUCUUUCAACCAGUUGAACAAGGAAUAGUUUGGACUUUUAAUCUGGAAUGAACUACAAUCCAGAAAUGGAGGGUGCAGCUGGGAUCCACAUCCUGAGACUCGAAGACACAAACUUUCGAUCCAGAUCUUGAGGGACAGUGGCCAUGACAAGCUUAGGUCCGGGCAUGGUGGUACACACUUUUAAUCCCAGGAGACAUAGGCAAGCAGAUUCCUGAGUUCAAGGCCAGCCUGGUAUAGAACAAGUUCCCAGCAGAGGAAAGCUUAAAUUCAGGCGUGUGGUAUAAUACAUACCUUUUGAUCUCAGCAUUCAGGAGACAGAACCAUGCAGAUCUGAGUUCAAGGUCAAUCUACAGAGCAAGUUUCAAGACAGCCAAGCUUAGGCAGUGAGGUAGUUGGAAACAGAAAGAUGGUGAUAGAAUAAGGGUGGGGUGGGGGGGAGCAUGUUCCAGUCCCAGCAAGCAGCAGAACUCAGGAGCUCGCCCAUGUGGCUCUGGCUUUAGAGUCCAGAGUAGAAGGGACUACUUGGACAAUUGAUGCUGGUUAGCUGGAGCUAAGGAAUUGAUAGUAAUUAAGAGACCAGCAUCACUGAGGUGACAUCUUCUGGGAAAUGUUUCCUGAGAGCACAAAGAAGCUGUGUUCCAGAGAUCGCCAAGGUUGUACCUUGUGCUGCAGCUGGACUUGGUACUGUGUAAGAGUCACCCAGGUGGUGCUGGUUUUGAAGGAAUGGGGGGGGGGGUCAUGGAGAGCAGCUGAGGCUUGGCACUGUGAGAGGCCAGGGAAAGCCAAUGGUGAAGGCACAGCCUUUGUUGCAGUUGACGGCCUAGGACUGAAGAGGUCAUGCAAAGAAGUAGAGGUUUGGUACCAUCAAGAGAGCCUAUGGGCAAAGCCUAGUUUCAGUGGAAGACCCCAGUGCAUUGGGGAUGCCGUACCCUGAACUAUCGAUCACCAAGCACAGCUGCAGCAGUGGGGUGGAGUCAGCCAGAGCCUAGAGUGCUACAGAGGGCGGAGCUGGGGAAGUGACACCAGCCUUUUGGAGGAGCCCAGAUCAUGUGUGGACCCCAGACACUGGAACAGGAAACUGUAACGUUAAAGUUGCCUUGGAAACCCCAAGAUGCCAGAGCCAUUGGGCUAUCUGCUGAGGAAAGCUGCCAACAGAAAGUGGAACCAGCCCAGGAGAAAGAAGUUUAUUGCCGUUAACAAGGAGGUAAGGAGCUGGAGAUCUGAAGACCGCCUUGGUAUCAGACAUGGAGACGCGGAAGGUUGGAGUUUGCCCAGCUGGUUUCCUGUCCUGCUUUGAGGUUACAGUAAAGUGACUGGAUAAAUCUCAGAAGAGACUUUGAACUUUGGAUUUUUAACAUUGUUGAGACUGUUAUAGACUAUGGGGUCUUUGGAAGCUGGACUAAAUGUAGUUUGCAUUAUGCCGUGUUUAGGUGUGGCUCCCACAGACUCAUGUUUGAACAAGCCUAUGGGGGCCAGGAGUGGAAUGUGGUGGUCUAUAUACACACGCUUGGGCCUGGGCGUGGCACUUUGGAGGUGUGGCCUUGUCAGGGCCCUCUCCCUAUGCACCCUCUCUCUGGAGGCCACAGACUCCUCCAUAGCACGGGGACCUGGUUCUCCCCACACCUCCUCCUUUUGCUCUUCAAGCACAAUUACAGGAAAUAUUUUUUUCCAGACUAGAAGUCACUUAAUCAUGUAAUUUUUAAAAAAUGGGGCUUUUUCUAAUUGAAGCUUUUCAAUAAAGCUUCAAUCUAACUUUUCAUUUAACAGGGGCAGAGGAAUGUGGAGUUGGCCAGGCAUGGUGUUACACACCUGUAAUGCCAAAACUUGGCGGUGGAAACAGGGGGAUCAGAACAUUGAGCCCAGUCUGACCUCUAUGAGAUUCUGAUUUGACAAACCAAACCAAAUUAAAGCCAACAGCUAAACUAUUCUUGGGAAAUCAUUUUCAAAUUCACGGAGGGUUCUAUUACAGUUACUAAGAUUCAAAAUAAUAAAUCCAUGCUCCAGGA